rnacentral:misc_RNA from 1 species
GAUGAAGAACGUAGCGAAAUGCGACAAGUAAUGUGAAUUGCAGAAUUCCGUGAAUCAUCGAAUCUUUGAACGCACAUUGCGCUCCUUGGUAUUCCGAGGAGCAUGCCUGUUUGAGUGUCAUUAAUAUAUCAACCUCUUCAGCUUAUGCUUGUUGAGUGUUGGAUGGUGGGGGUUUGCUGGUGUCUUAUGAAGUCAGCUCCUCUGAAAUGCAUUAGCGGAACAAUUUGUUGACCGUUCAUUGGUGUGAUAAAAAUAUCUACGCUAUUGACGUCAGUCAGUUCAGCUUCUAACAGUCCAUUGACUUGGACAAAUUUUUCAUUAAUGUGACCUCAAAUCAGGUAGGACUACCCGCUGAACUUAAGCAUAUCAAUAAGCGGAGGA